UAUUUUCGGAAUUGUAGCUGGAGCUUGUGGCUAUGGAAUCCACGGACGGACAAUCAAUGGUGCACUCGUUGCCGGAGUUUCGAGGCUAUGGGACAAUGGGUAUAGUUGCGGUGCUUGCUACCAGGUACACCGAAAAAUCUUCAAACCUGUUCAUUGAGUAAUUCGAAAUUUACGGUUAAACCGGAUAAAAAUGCGUUGAAUGAUAAUGUUUGUGAACUAGUAUUGUAACGGCAGUCGGGUGGACAUUGGGUUGUGGGUAUAUCGGAUAAUUACGGUCAGGUGAACAUUGGGUAGUGGAUAACUCUUUAUAGCGGUUUGUACCCCAUCCUACAACCCAAUUAGGGGUGGGAAUCAAGCAGGGUCUGAUCGGUUUAGCCUAGCCCGUCCUGGACAAACUUUCGAGUAACCUCAUCGGUUCGAUCUUUCAGGUUAGAUGCAAGGACAACUACCUAUGCAAAGAGGAAGGCAUAACCGUGGUGGUGACCGAUAACGCUUCGGGAGGCAACACCGACUUCAUUAUGAGCGCUCAUGCCUACGGGAGCAUGGCUCACCAGAACAGGACCGACGAGCUCUAUUGGUUAGGGAUGGUGGACGUCGAAUACCGGCGCACACCGUGCAAGUUCUCGGGCUAUAAUCUUAUUUUCAAGGUGGUGGAGCAGAGCAGGUACCCUGAGUACUUGGCCAUUGCUCCUAUGUUCCAUGAUGGUGAAAAUGACAUCUAUGGUCUGCAAGUAAUGCAGGUAUGAUCUAACCCCCUAGCCUUGAUUCGGUAAAGAAAUCGAUAUGAUCUCGACUGUGGAAGUUAAAUCAGAGUAUGAAACUGAAAAAUCAUGAACCAAAAUCCUGAGAAUUUCAGGUUUUCCAGAUUAUGAAAAACAUACAGAUCAGUCCUGGUAUAUUGUCCUCGUACCGAAACCGAAUAUCGAAAAUUUUAGUAUCGGAUCUCCGAAUUGCUACCCUAAUUAAGCCAAUGAUUCUUCUAUCUGACUUGCAGGAAGGUGGCGAGGAAUGGAAAACUAUGGAGAAAGCAUGGGGUGGAGUCUGGCACUUGCCUAUUCCACCAAGAGGAUCCCUUAAGCUUAAGGUCCAAGUUGGCAACAGCUAUGGAGACAAAAAAUGGAUAGAGGCAAAGAAGUCCUUACCGAGUUCGUGGAAGCCCGGUGCUGCUUACGAUUCCCAUGUCCAGCUUUCUUGAAGAGGAUUCGAAAGACCGAAAGCCGGGAUCAGGCUCCUUCUGCGAAUAUUUUACGAGUCCAGCAUGCUCGAAAAAAGCAUACAAAGUUUGUUAUUCAGUAUAUGUAUUUCCAACUCACUGUUUGCAGCUAACUUGAUCAGCAGAAAUGUAUCAAGAGCCAUAGAGACUGAUUAGUAUAACAUUUGUAAUCCGUACCGAGAUCUGGAUAGUUAAACAUCGAAGGUAUUCGAGCAAGAAUAAGAUGAAUCUAGAGAAAAAUCAUCAAACGUUACAGCAACUUACAUUACUGAGCUAGCAAGACAACAUCUGUUUCCAUCAGAGACAAUAACGAAAUCGGAGGCGUUAAUACAUCCGACCGGUGCACUCUGAAGAACCACAGUAGCAACUUUUCAUCUUUAUGUUGCCCUGCGAGUCGCGGACUUGAUCGAUUUGAUAAUUGUAGUGAUAAGUUAAUUCUCGCAACGGAGGAAUGUUUUCAGCAGCGAAGAGCAUAAUGUGAGGGAUCCUCCGAUCCCCGUGGUCAUAGAGCACGUUCUGCGCGUAAAGAUUCGGAGAGCAACUGUGAUUGAUGAACCUCCCCACAUUGCCAAACUCCGCAGCAUCGAUAGUGAAGUUAGGGGAGCCAUUAUUCCCUUCUGAAUCAUCGUCGUCACUACAUCCUCCAAUAUCGAACAGAUACUCGUCGUUCGUUCUCCGCUCAGCUUCAACAUCAUCGAGAAGUUCUCCGACAUACUCGCAGAUAAAACUCCCGGACGAGAUAGAGUUCAAAGACCGAACGCCCCACCCCCUUGAAUCGGUUUUGAAAACCUCAAGCUGAAUCUUGAUUCCGUUCUGGCUGACUCGAUUAUAACAAGAAGAUGGGCACUUACAAGAAGAACCGCACUCGUAGACAAGAUCCUUCGCUUCAACGAUCGCUCCGUUGUUAUUAAACGGUAUCUCGCGGCCAUUUCUUGCCACGCAAGAACACGAAGAACCAGACUCGGAGCACCCGGUCCUACAGCCGCAUCCAUCGGGUGCAGCCAGGGUAUUUGGAUACAUAAUCUUAGUUAUGUAACUAAAUGAUGGAGGCUUCUCAUUGUCAACAGUAUUCACAGCACAUAUAGGAAUCAACUCUUUUCCCUGUGAAAUAUCACUCACACAUAACCCUUCCCUAAGUUUAAGCUUCUUUGACUUCUUCACUUGUUUCCAAGUGAGUUCCGGUUGACCCGGAAUUCGAACCAACCGAAACUUAAAUACGAGCUUCCCAUGUGGUCCGGGCUCUUGCCAGUACUUCUCCACGUUGUAUAAGCCAUCAUACACAUAAACCUUGCUUCUAACCUUACCCGAUUCCAGUUUUUUCGUAUAACCGUGAAUCACUCUCACAGGAUUCCGCGUCGCAAUGCUGUUCUUUAAACCAAGAUUACCCUUCUCAAGCUUCUGAUCUUCGGCUUCUUUAUCCUUCGUCGAGUUCCCUCCCUGACCGGUAUAGUCCAACACAUCCGAAUUCUCCAGGUUAUCGUCGUAUCCAGCCGACGCCACGAUACUCACCGCUAUAAAAUCUCGACCUUGUUUUGCGAAAUCAAUACCGGCCUGAGUCGGGCGAUGGAGACCGAUCACGUUCAGCUCUAACCUGAACUGAAACUCGUCGCCAACUUCAACUCCGGGCAAAUCUCCGACUAUACACUGGCCUUCGUUAAGACACAUUCCUCUGUUCCUAAGCUCUUUCGCGGCAAUACAGUCAACGCGUUGACCGAUUAGACCUUGACUCCUCCCUCCUUUCUUUGAUCUUGAUUCCGAUUCAUGAACCAACUUCCUACAGAUGAAGUGAAAUAGACGUAAUGUUUCCCUCACCUUCUUCCUUGCACUACUAGCAAAGCCUUUAGAACUACUAUCGGGACCGAAAGGAGUAAGGUUCCCACUAAUUGAUAGCGAACCAUUGCAUUUCUCAUCAUUCUCUGCAAAAUUUACUUCAUCACAUAGAGCCUCUUGCUUCAAAGAUCCAUCGGUAUUUUCCGAUUUGUGUGAAGAUUUCUUCCUCAGUGUGGAAGCUGAUUUUCUAUGUUCUCGGGCUACGAAUUUCUUUUUCUUCUUUUUUCUCUUUUCACUCACAUUAGCUGCUGCAACCUUGAGACCACCACACUUUUGUUUGGUUAUCUUCUUCAGGACGGAUAGCUUUGUAUUCUCUCGUUGGGCGGCAACCUUCGCCUUACGAACAUCAGAGUCUUCCUGCAAGUGCCCCUUGGAAUUUUCCCCGAGCUCACUCUGAAGGAGAUUAUGUGGUGAACUAAUAAUGCCUCUAUUACGGUCGCCUUCUCGAUCAUCCCUUGUCACGUCCCCGGAACAAGAUACAACUUCAUCAGGACUCCUUGACGCUUUCUCGACAAACUCUUUCACCUUUGUGUCAACCGUAACACUAUUCCGUUCAUGGACAUUGCUUUCUAAUAGGUCCUCGUGCAGGUGCCCCUUCAAAUCUCCUUGUCUGUUAGAGUUAAGUACCACCUUAGACUUUUUACCGACCUUUGUGCCCUUGUCGCGUUCACAUUCUUGAUCAGCCAUUGCCACGUCCCCGGAACAAGAUACAAUUUCAUCCGGACACCUUGUUGCUAUCUCGACAAACUCUUUCACCUUUGUGUCAACCGUAACAAUGUCCCGUUCUAAGACACUGCUUUCUAUUUGUCUCUCGUGAGAUCCAGCAUUCACAUUAACAUCCACAACCGUUUCAGAUUCAUUUUUCACCCGCUCUUCUUCUUCUUCUUCCUUGUGAAGAGGUUUGGCAUUUCUUCCACAGUUUGGAGGAAAGCUUCUAACACCUAACAUUUUCCUCCUUGGAGGAUAUUUACAAAUGGAAGCUAUCUUUGAUGGAGCAGGAACAUCUGCAUCAGAUGAGCCACCUUUUAAUAUCCCAAUGACCUCGCCCGGUAACAAAUGUACUGGUAAUUCCAAGUUCUCAGAUAGUGAACUCCCUGCAGAUUCGGGACUCUCCACUGGUUGGACAUCUCCAUUGAACUCGACGUUAUCCAUUUGCUCGCCAGACAGCCUUAAAUCAUGGGAUCCAAUCUUAGUUGCACGAUUUCCAGCAUUGCUUUCAUCAUCCAACUCCGAAGACAUUGUCAAGACACGAGACUCGAUCCCAUUUUCCGGAACACUGCCGGAAUCAUCACCAACAACAACACUGCUGGCGGUCUCCAAUCCUAUCGGAUUCGCAGCAACAUCACUAGACACUACCGAGUCACUCGUUCUGGAAUCCAAAUGAACCAACACCGGUACCUUGGGAUCAUCAUCGCCACCAAGAGUAGCCACAAUAGUCCUUGCACGCGGGCCGCAACCGGGAGGGAAAUGCCUAACACCAUAGAAUCUCCUUGGCCGCUUAAACUCGGGCCGUUUAAACUCGGGCUUUCGAAAUUCGUCAUCUCCGCUGCCUAAAGACACCACAUUCAUCGACUUCGUUUGCAUCAUAGUAUUGUCCAUCAAUCCCAUCACAAGAAAAGCUCACCAAACAAACUCACAAGAUUCACAACAGUGACAAAACGAGAGGGAUCUUCAUGAAAAAAAAUAAAAAAAACAAACAAUUCAGAUAACAAUUCGGAUUUCGGAGUGUGGGAUACUUCAAGCCCUAGAGCCCUCCCCUCCAAUCAAGGAGGCAAGCAACAAUCUUUAAUUGGCGCGCACACGCAAACCAGACUCGACGUAAAAAUAAACACAAUCAGUAUUCAAAUCAACUACAAGAGAAAUCGGAACACAACCCACCUUCCGAUUCAUCCACGUAGAAUCAAAUCUGAGAGGAAAUUCGAUAUCUAAGGAGAUUUUGACGAAACUAAAAUUCAAAUUCGAAAAGCUGGGAGAAAGGAUCGGAUAAAAUCUCUUACCUGGGAAAUCAAUGUAGAGUGGCGCAGAAGUAAGGAGAUUUGAGAACGAAUGAAGGAAUUAUGAAAUGGGUGUCGGUGUUCGUUAGAUGUAAGGAAAUGAAAGUAACAGAGCAGGAUCUUUCCAAUUAUAUGGUGUCGCGC
rnacentral:lncRNA from 1 species